UUUUUCCGGGGAUGGUUGUGUCGAAAACGAUGGAAACAGAUUGUCGUCGAAUACAUCAACUCUCCUCAUGCAGAGAGCAUGCGCAAACGAAAUAGUCUCGUGUUUCGAAUGGUCGAAUCUGAAGAAGAAUAUUUGGAGCAACUACAGAUGCUCGUGACCUACUUCCUUCGGCCUUUCAAGAUGUCGGCGAGUUCUCAGAAACCUCCCUGUAGCCAUGACGAAGUUAGUUCUAUCUUUCUCAAUAGUGAAACAGUUAUGUUCCUUCACCAGAUUUUUUUAAAAGGCCUCACAUCGAGAAUGGAAAGUUGGCCAACGUUAGUUUUAGGU